UACGUAGGGGGCAAGCGUUGUCCGGAUUUAUUGGGCGUAAAGAGCGUGUAGGCGGUUGGGUAGGUCCGUUGUGAAAACUCGAGGCUCAACCUCGAGACGCCGAUGGAAACCCCCCAGCUAGAGUCCGGAAGAGGAGAGUGGAAUUCCUGGUGUAGCGGUGAAAUGCGCAGAUAUCAGGAGGAACACCGAUGGCGAAGGCAGAUCUCUGGGCCGUAACUGACGCUGAGGAGCGAAAGCGUGGGGAGCGAACAGG
rnacentral:rRNA from 1 species